CUUCCGGCCUCCAGGCUGUUGAACCACGCCCGCGCUGGUCCCGAGAGCGUUGUUGGGAACACCUUACACAUUAAGGCAUCUGACAGAGUUUGCAGCUCCAUGAAGGUCUUAUAGUUCAUGACGUGCUCCCUCGGGUUACCAGCUCCGUUAUAGGCCGCCAUCGGCGGCAUCAUAAACUUCUUGGGAACGGUCUCCUGCUGUACUAUCUUUGAGAAAGGAGAAGAAGUGGGCAAGGAGGUUUGGCUCUGAUCUUUCUUACCUAGCUCAGCUAAGAGCUGCUCCUUCAACCUUUUCAACUUUUGGUCCAUUUUCUCGUCUACUGAACCGAAUCUUUCCUCCAAGCUGCAUUCCUCUUCUUAUGCUGCAGUUCCCGUUGUUUCGGCAGAAUAGUUGUCCGCCCCCUCAUUUUCUAUCAUUUCUCUUACCCUUCUCCCAUGGAUUCGGGCCUCCGGUUCUUCCUCUUCCUCGAUAUCACGGCUGUUAGUUUGGGGGCGGUCAAAGAUAGGUCGGGGUUCAUUGGUUCUGGGUUCCUCCACCACUGGGAGUGCAUUUACUGGGGUGCUAAGGCCCCUCUGUUGCAUUAUCUGCCCCAACCAGUGAGCAGUAGUCUGUAGCUGGAGAGCCAUGGUUUGAAUGUCCUGGUUAGACAGGGUCAUGGUGGGAGUAUUCCCUGCCAAGCUUGGCGAGGGAUUAAGAGGAAUAGGCGUUUGGUUAUUCAACGUUGUAGGGCUAGAAAAGGAGAACUACUGCCCAUCUUGGGCAGAGCUCAGG
rnacentral:lncRNA from 1 species